rnacentral:rRNA from 1 species
GACAGAGGGUGCAAACGUUGCUCGGAAUUACUGGGCGUAAAGCGCGUGUAGGCGGACCGUUGUGUCAGGCGUGAAAGCCCUGGGCUCAACCCAGGAACUGCACCUGAAACUGGCGGUCUAGAGUGGUGGAGAGGGAAGUGGAAUUCCUGUGUAGAGGUGAAAUUCGUAGAUAUCAGGAGGAACACCAGUGGCGAAGGCGGCUUCCUGGACACCAACUGACGCUGAGACGCGAAAGCGUGGGGAGCAAACAGG